AUGGACCAUUCCAUCCCUUUUUCCCGUGCAUAUGCAUCGGAUUCGGAUGACGAAGGUCCCGAUGAACAAGUUGAUGAGGAGGGGUUCACGGUGAAGGAGGCCGAAGCUUUCGAGAAGGUAUUCGGUCGGGAUCACAAGACACCAUUGUUCAAGGAUGUUAGUCUCGCGGAUGAAGCCGUUGUGGAUGGUGGCAAAUCUAUAUCUCUUGGGGUUAGGCCAAGCUCUCAC
rnacentral:rRNA from 1 species